UAGAGUUUGAUCCUGGCUCAGGAAAGUCGUAAUAAGGUAACCGUAGAGUUUGAUCAUGGCUCAGGAAAGUCGUAACAAGGUAACCGUAAGUCGUAACAAGGUAACCGUAA
rnacentral:rRNA from 1 species